rnacentral:rRNA from 1 species
UCCCAUAACGAGCGCAACCCUUACUGUUAGUUGCCAGCGGGUCAAGCCGGGAACUCUAACGGGACUGCCACCGUAAGGUGAGAGGAAGGUGGGGAUGACGUCAAAUCAGCACGGCCCUUAUGUCCAGGGCUACACACGUGUUACAAUGGUCGGUACAAAGGGCAGCUACACCGCGAGGUGAUGCUAAUCUCUAAAGCCGGUCUCAGUUCGGAUCGAAGUCUGCAACCCGACUUCGUGAAGUUGGAUUCGCUAGUAAUCGCGCAUCAGCCAUGGCGCGGUGAAUACGUUCCCGGGCCUU